GACGAACGCUGGCGGCGUGCUUAACACAUGCAAGUCGAACGGAAAGGCCCUUCGGGGUACUCGAGUGGCGAACGGGUGAGUAACACGUGGGUGAUCUGCCCUGCACUUUGGGAUAAGCCUGGGAAACUGGGUCUAAUACCGAAUAGGACCGCAUGCUUCAUGGUGUGUGGUGGAAAGCUUUUGCGGUGUGGGAUGGGCCCGCGGCCUAUCAGGUUGUUGGUGGGGUAAUGGCCUACCAAGGCGACGACGGGUAGCCGGCCUGAGAGGGUGACCGGCCACACUGGGACUGAGAUACGGCCCAGACUCCUACGGGAGGCAGCAGUGGGGAAUAUUGCACAAUGGGCGCAAGCCUGAUGCAGCGACGCCGCGUGAGGGAUGACGGCCUUCGGGUUGUAAACCUCUUUCAGCAGGGACGAAGCGCAAGUGACGGUACCUGCAGAAGAAGGACCGGCCAACUACGUGCCAGCCGCCGCCGUAA
rnacentral:rRNA from 1 species